AUUGAACGCUGGCGGCAUGCCUUACACAUGCAAGUCGAACGCGAAAGUCCCGCAAGGGGCAAGUAGAGUGGCAAACGGGUGAGUAACGCGUGGGCGACCUACCUUCGAGUGGGGGAUAACCUUCCGAAAGGAGGGCUAAUACCGCAUGACAUCCCGUGUUUGGAUACACGGACAUCAAAGUCGGGGAUCGCAAGACCUGACGCUUGGAGAGGGGCCUGCGUCCGAUUAGCUAGUUGGUGGGGUAACGGCCCACCAAGGCUUCGAUCGGUAUCCGGCCUGAGAGGGCGGACGGACACACUGGGACUGAGACACGGCCCAGACUCCUACGGGAGGCAGCAGUGGGGAAUUUUGGACAAUGGGCGAAAGCCUGAUCCAGCAAUGCCGCGUGCAGGAUGAAGGCCUUCGGGUUGUAAACUGCUUU
rnacentral:rRNA from 1 species